AGUGGCGAACGGCUGAAUAACACGUAAGUAACCUAUCCUAUAAGUGGGGAAUAACUCACCGAAAGGUGAGCUAAUACCGCAUAAAGUGGUUCUCAUAAUGGGGGAUCACCAAAGGAAUGAGCAAUCAUUUCGCUGAAGGAGGGGCUUGCGACCUAUCAGGUAGUUGGUGAGGUAACGGCUCACCAAGCCAUAGACGGGUAGSUGGUCUGAGAGGACGACCAGCCAGACAGGGACUGAGACACGGCCCUGACUCCUACGGGAGGCAGCAGUGGGGAAUUUUGCGCAAUGGGCGAAAGCCUGACGCAGCAACGCCGCGUGAGUGAUGAAGGCCUUCGGGUCGUAAAGCUCUGUCAGUGGGGAAGAACCGCCGGGUGGUUAAUACCUGCCUGGUCUGACGGUACCCACAAAGGAAGCACCGGCUAACUCCGUGCCAGCAGCCGCGGUAAUAC
rnacentral:rRNA from 2 species